GUUUUUCUAAUAAAUGUUUAUUCUCUUGCAGAUAAAGCUGGUUCAGCAAGCAGAUCUUUAACUAUGCCCCAAAUUUGUAUGGAUCCGAUGAGGUUAGUUGAGAGCUCUUGUCUAUAAUUAUAAUCUGCAUUUACCAUGAUGAACACCUUAUUUAAGCCAAACAGUUAUCCCUGUCAUAAGAAUAAUUGAUGAUAAAAUAAGCUGAUUUAAAUCAAGUUCAUUAUUAUAUUAAGAAACUACUUUGACACCUAUGUUAAUUGUAAAUUCAUUUGUUUGCAGAUGUGUGAAAUGUCUGUCCUUGCUGCUCUAAGCAUAAUAAAGCCUGGCAUAUAUUCGAAGUGGACUGAACUUGGCAUUACUUUAGACUGGCAAAAACAAUUCUCUAAAUAGAUAAACUGCGCCAGUCGAAUGCGUCCAAAAUAAUUUAAUAAUAUUGUACAAACCAAAAUUGAAUAAAAACGCAGUUAUCUUUUAUUAUAACGUGAUAUAA